AAUGAAUAAUGGAAGUUUUUGAAUUUAAUCUAACCACCAGACAGGGCUUCUCAUGGACCAGUGGCGCAAUGGAUAACGCGUCUGACUACGGAUCAGAAGAUUCUAGGUUCGACUCCUGGCUGGUUCGAUCUUUUUCAGUCGCUCAUUUUAUGAGGAAAUCGCUUUUCCAUGCUGGCGUCUGGAUGGUUUGUAUGGAGGACCAGGUUGCAGGGUUGGUCCCAGUAGUGUAAUGAUCCAGCCCUACUACUUCUGCCUUUCAAUGCUGACUGGUUUCAGGUAGCUGUUUGAAGCGUUGAGCCAGUUCACACUUAAAAUGAACUAGUUCAAGUUCAGAGGGUUGGUUAAGGUUGUUUUUUUUACUGGGAUGAUUUAGGUGUCAGUGGUCCUGACUGUGAGCGUCACUUAUCUUGUUGUUCUGAUCACAAGGAGAGAGCAGAGAGGAGGAGGAAACAGAAACUCCAGCUCGGUACAAACCACCUGCAGCUUCUGCUCUGAUCAUGAAGCAGCUGAUCACCGAGCAUUUUAAGUGUGAUCUUGUUCAACAAUGCAAACAGCUACUGGACACCAGUCAGCAUUAAAAGGCAGAAGUAUUUGACACCCCCUGUGACCGAUCCUGCAUGAGACUGCGAUCAGGCCCGCCUUCCUCAUUAGCAUACGGACUCAGAAAUGUGUAAAUAAAUAAUUGUGUAAAUACAUUAAUUUAGAAAUAAAUAAAUGUGGAAAUAAAUAAAAGUGGAAAUAUAUUUAAGACAUUUAAUUCUGGCCCUCCAUAAGUUUGUAGUAAAUCUUUACAUCGGCUGACUCAGUGGUUUGUGCCAGCUGGCUGCAUGUAGAUAUAACAAUACUCUGUUUAGGAUUAUGAUUGGCUGUAAUACAAAAAGUUACAAGCUUACCUCUGUGUUAAUACAAAUAAUUAUCAUAUUAAAAGUUCGAUAUAAAAUGGAAAUCAUCACCUAUGUGUUCUCUCUCUCUCUCUCUCUCUCUCUCUCUCUCUCUCUCUCUCUCUCUCUCUCUCUCUCUCUCUCUCUCUCUCUCUCUCUCUCUCUCUCUCUCUCUCUGUGUUCUCCUGGAGCUGUAGUUUAUAAGGAUGUGGGGGCUGGUGGCGACCUCUGCUGGUGUUUUCAGGCAACGAAAUCGGGGAAGGACAACACGGGCAACUUCCUCUGAUAAUUAUUUGAAGCCAUUAAUCUGCCUAUCGGAGGUAAACGAUGAAGGAAAUCCAACCAGCAAAACCACAUCCAACAAACAGAGCGCCCAGUAACAGCCCCGUUAUAAUGAAAUUCUACUCCGUUUUUCAUCACGUGGGCUAGUGGCGCAAUGGAUAACGCGUCUGACUACGGAUCAGAAGAUUCUAGGUUCGACUCCUGGCUAGCUCGUGGCUUUUGUUUACCGUCCCUUGGCUGCGACCCAAGUUUUAAGAAGUCGAAUUCUUAGCAUUAUCUGGCUUCUUUUUCCUGUGACCUCUUUGCUCCAGAACAGACCCGAGUACACCACGAGACUGAGUCUGAGCAGCAGAAUACUGGAGAUGUGAUGGAGGCUUUCUCUCUUGGUGGCACUUUAUGCAGAUGAUCACAUCUAUCUGUCUUACUCCUUAUGGCAGUGCCACUGGGCUCCCUCUCCUCUUUCCUCUUCCUGUAUUUGUUCAGAAGAGCAUGGAACAGCUUGAGUGGAUGUCUGAGUGGAUGGUGGCAUAGCUGAGGGUAAUGGGAAACUACCUCAUCUGUGAGGUCCCGGUCCGGGGCUGCAGCCAUCACAGUGGGAAGCACGGAUGGAAAAAGAAGGGCAGAGAAACAGGAAGUGCAGGGGCAAUGGUAGGAAUCUAUGUGUUUUUUCCCCCAACAAUUACAAAAGCCCCAACACUUCUUCUAUUCUAUCUUGGACCCACUGAUCAAAUAAAAAGUUAAUUUCAUUGGUUUUAUUUGUAAAAAAGAAGGCAAAGAUAGUCAUACAAUUAAUAAAUAACGGAAAAAAGCCUGAUCAAAA